UAUAUAUAUGUUGUUUGAAUAGUAUAGUAGUAUAAAGAUAUUUUUGCUUAUUGUCAACUUUUUUUUUUCUUAAAAACUCUAGUCUGCCCAGGGCUCGUCUUUCAAAACUCUUCCUGGGAGAGCUCGACCCCGGAAAAAAAGCUCAAUGCGCCCAAAAAAAUUUAUAAAAUCAAAACCGAUAAAGAAAUUCAUGUAGUUGUAAAAAAUGAAACAAAAAAUUAUGAAAAAGACUGUAAUAAACUAGUUCAAUCUUAAUCUAGCAGUUUUUCUUUUUAUGAUUUGAACUGUUUGGAGGAUGAAUUCUAUGGGUCUCAUUGUUAUAAGAUAUUGUUCAAAUGUAUUUAUUCUCUCUACCCUGUUCAAAGUGUUCACCUAAAUUCUCUGAAUAAAGGAUGAACUAUUAACAAAAAGGCGA